GAUGAACGCUGGCGGCGUGCUUAACACAUGCAAGUCGGACGGGAAGUGGUGUUUGAGGUGGCGGACGGGGAAGUGACGCGUAAGAACCGGCCAACGGGCGGGGGACUAUAGCUGGAAACGACGGAUAAUAGCCCAAAACCGGAGGUGCAACGGUAGGCACCCGCCUGAGGGGGGGAUGGCGUCUCAGUUGGUAGUUGGUGAGGCGAUAGCUUACCAAGGCGAUGGGCAGUAGCUGGUCCGAGAGGAGGAUCAGCCACACUGGGACUGAGACACGGCCCAGACUCCGACGGGAGGCAGCAGUGGGGAAUUUUCCGCAAUGGGCGACAGCCUGACGGAGCAAUGCGGCGUGGAGGUAGAAGGCCUACGGGUCGUGAACUUCUUUUCCCGGAGAAGAAGCAAUGACGGUAUCUGGAGAAGAAGCACCGGCUAACUCUGUG
rnacentral:rRNA from 1 species